AAAUGUAGAACAAACUCUAAACUGUUGAAAUGGCACUUGAGCUGCUUUAAACUCCAAGACAGAAAUUGGAAGGGAGGCACACAGCAGGCCAAACAGACCCCGUUUUCUGUUUGGUUUAGAGCUCAGGAUGAAGACUGUGAGCGCACUGGGAUAUACGACAACUUUUGGGGUUAAGCAAACAGAAUUUAGAGAGGAACGACUGGACAGAUGCCAGUCUAGGUUUGCUAAACCCUCGUCUUUGAUCAGCUCUCCAAAUCAACCCUAGGAGCACGAGCUGCAAACAAAACAAGUGAAAGGAUAUAAAAAUCAGCUGUGACCUAACUGCAAGCAUUCAAAGAUCUUAUUUUUCUUUUUUCUUGUUUUGCUCUCUAUGUAUUUGCAGGAAAUUAUUACCUUUGCUAAUUAUAAGCUGUUUAUUUCAUUUUAAUCAUGACCCCUGUAAUAUCCCAACAGGCUGCUCCAAAAGUGACUGAAUCACUGGCAUGCACUGCAUCCAGAGGACCAAGAGUGCCAACAGGUGAACGGUUAUGAAACAGGUCAGCUUCAGCAGUCUUCUUAAACUAAAGAAAGCCUGCUGGGAGGUGAAGACAUGGAAAUAAAGCCACAUAUUUAGGGAUCCAGCAGGACUCCCAGUGAGGUGCUGAAAGAGCAAGUGCAGCUGACAGAGCUGAAGCCGGACCUCCAAGAAGCAAACGGUGCACCGAGACCUGAAUGUCCCAUAACAACUGGGAGCAGCAGGUGGACCCUGAAGGAAGUUUGACAGAAAUCUGAUUCUUAACCUCCUACAGCUGCAUGGACUUUGAGUAAAAGCCACAGAUGAUCGAUGCUGUCUGAGGCCUGUCCGCUGCGGGAGAUGGCCUGGGACCACGCAGGUCUCACGGCAGGUUCACACGUGCCAGCUGGGAACUGCUCAAUGUAAAAGCACGCUGUGCUGAGCCUUCAUGCUGCCUGCAGUAGCACAUCAGCUUGGUAAAGCCUGGAUCAACGUAGUGAUCCAGCAGCACUGCCAGAACUGCCGUGCUCUUGGUGUACUGCACUGGGAAACUUGUAGUUGAGGUGCUGAUAAAGCUCAUGUCCAAAGCUCAGUAGUUCAGGUAGGGAGCAUACGGAACACUCAGUAACUCUGCCGGUGGCAGUGAAUGUAAAUUGAAUGGCAGUAAGUGAUACGAGGGGAUACUUCUCUUGCUGAAGCAAGGAAAUCAGCUUUCAAAGAGGUAAUAACGGGGAGGUGUUGUUUAUGUGUAUUUUCAUGGCGUUACGUGUGUCAUUUUUCAGCGUAGCUGGCAGCCAGUGACUGAUGAGAUGUAGAAAAAACACCCCAUAGGCUGCCUGCUGGUUCACUCUCAUGGUGUGCAUGAGAAUAAAUGACCUGGAU
rnacentral:lncRNA from 7 species